rnacentral:rRNA from 1 species
GACGAAGGAUGCAAGCGUUAUCCGGAUUCAUUGGGCUUAAAGGGCGCGUAGGCGGCCUGAUAAGUCAGUGGUGAAAUCUCUCGGCUUAACCGAGAAAUUGCCAUUGAUACUGUUAGGCUUGAGUAUAGUUGCCGUUGGCGGAAUAUGACAUGUAGUGGUGAAAUACAUAGAGAUGUCAUAGAACACCGAUUGCGAAGGCAGCUAACGAAACUAUAACUGACACUGAGGCUCGAAAGUGCGGGGAUCAAACAGG